rnacentral:rRNA from 1 species
GACCGGACAGUAAUGUGUCCUUUUCUUCGGAACACGGUGACAGGUGGUGCAUGGUUGUCGUCAGCUCGUGUCGUGAGAUGUUGGGUUAAGUCCCGCAACGAGCGCAACCCUUAUCCCCAGUAGCCAGCAUUUUGGAUGGGCACUCUGAGGAGACUGCCAGGGAUAACCUGGAGGAAGGUGGGGAUGACGUCAAAUCAUCAUGCCCCUUAUGACUUGGGCUACACACGUGCUACAAUGGCCGUAAACAAAGGGAAGCGAGACCGUGAGGUGGAGCAAAUCCCAAAAAUAUACGUCCUCAGUUCGGACUGUAGUCUCGCAACCCGACUACACUGAAGCUGAAUCGUUAUAAUCGC